CCGAGCGGACUCAUAAUAACAUCGUUCUUGGCGACAAUGAAUUUUAAGAUCAGCCUGAUUUUCUUAUCGCUUCUACUCUCGGGCGUUUUGGCAUUCCCAAAAAGGAGAACCAAGUGCGAACCAUGGGAACCAUUUUGCGACAAUGAACCUGCACCGCCGGGAUAUAUAAACUAGUUGGACGUAUCAUGCAUUGAUAAAAAAAAAAAAAUUGACAAAUUUCAAAAACUGUAAUUAUGUUUUGAAUAUUGUGUAAUACGUUUAGCAUUCUUACCACGUCAACUUAAUCAACAAAUAAAGUUAUUUGCCAUUUUUUUAAAACCUCAA